UUAUAUAUUGACGAAAAAGAGAAUAUCGUCAAGAUCUCAAAAGAUCUAACUACUAAAGUGUUAUCUUUGAAAAAUCCACCAGAAUGGAAAACAGAGUGUCUCUUUUCAUCAUUAGCCACUAACGAAUUACUUGUUGGUACAACACUCAACAACCGUGUAGGGAGAAUAACAAUAUAUAACUCACUUGGAAAUGAAGUAUUUACCAUUCAACAAAAUGACAAAGGCGGAAACUUAUACUCUCAUCCAGUGUACGUUACAGAAAAUCAAAAUGGGGACAUAAUAGUGUCCGAUCGAGUAAAAAAUAAAGUAGUUGUGACGGACUUUAAGGGAAAUUAUCGGUUUUCUUUUUCAAAAAAAUCCUGUGGUAAGGGAUCUGAGAUAUUCCAUACCGUUUGCACAGACGCACUUUCAAACAAUUUUUACAUCCUGGUUUGCAGGAAUAAUUCUGUAGUAAUACGAGACGAAAAUGGUAAAUUGUUGAAAGUGACCGUACCAGAAAAUACAAACAUCUACGGAAGGAAACUCAAUAGCUUAUGCUAUGACAGUGUUAAUGAUCGACUAUUGGUGGGAGGCAUUUCAUCAGACCGAAAAACGGAAAUGAUCUCCGGACUCCGUCAUUUGGACCGGCCAAGAUUUAUGAAAGGUAUAAAAAAGACGAAAUACAGAAAGAGAAAGAAGGAGAAGAAAAUGGCGAAUAUUUCUUCUGAAUCAGACAACAGCUAUGAUAAUUAACCUGUAAAAGACGAUGAUUUUAAAUUUUAUUGUUAUGGCGGUAACAAUUACGUUGACAGGAAAGAUGCUGAAGACGAUUUUGACCCUUACCCUGAACCCUAUCCUGAUGAAGAUGUUCAUUCUUUGAGUAAUUGGUCAAAUUGGGGAACACGACGUCGAAAACGAGUGAUGGAAUGAU